rnacentral:rRNA from 1 species
CACCUCUGGAGAAGCUCGAUGUCCUUAAUUGGGUGUCUUGCGGAACCAGGACCUUUACCUUGAAAAAAUUAAGAGUGUUUAAAGCAGGCAUUAUUGCUCGAAUACAUUAGCAUGGAAUAAUAGAAUAGGACGGCAUGGUUCUAUUUUGUUGGUUUCUAGGAUCACCGUAAUGAUUAAUAGGGAUAGUUGG